GACUUAAGCAUAUCAAUAAGCGGAGGAAAAGAAACCAACAGGGAUUGCCUCAGUAACGGCGAGUGAAGCGGCAACAGCUCAAAUUUGAAAUCUGGCCCUUGGGUCCGAAUUGUAAUUUGUAGAGGAUGUUUUUGGUGCGGUAUCUUCCGAGUUCCUUGGAACAGGACGCCUUAGAGGGUGAGAGCCCCGUACGGUUGAAUACCUAGCCUCUGUAAAACUCCUUCGACGAGUCGAGUAGUUUGGGAAUGCUGCUCUAAAUGGGAGGUAAAUUUCUUCUAAAGCUAAAUACUGGCCAGAGACCGAUAGCGCACAAGUAGAGUGAUCGAAAGAUGAAAAGCACUUUGAAAAGAGGGUUAAAUAGCACGUGAAAUUGUUGAAAGGGAAGGAUUUAUGACCAGACUUUUUCUGGGCGGAUCAUCCGGUGUUCUCACCGGUGCACUUCGUUCAGUUUAGGCCAGCAUCGAUUUUCGGUGGGGGAUAAAAGCUUUAGGAAUGUGGCUCCUCCGGGAGUGUUAUAGCCUAUUGUAUAAUACCCUGCUGGGGAUCGAGGUACGCGCUUCUGCAAGGAUGCUGGCGUAAUGGUUAUCAAUCACCCGUCUUGAAACACGGACCAAGGAGUCGAACAUUUGUGCAAGUGUUUGGGUGUUAAACCCUCACGCGUAAUGAAAGUGAACGGAGGUGAGAGCCCUUACGGGUGCAUCAUCGACCGAUCCUGAUGUUUUCGGAUGGAUUUGAGUAAGAGCAUAACUGUUCGGACCCGAAAGAUGGUGAACUAUGCGUGGAUAGGGUGAAGCCAGAGGAAACUCUGGUGGAGGCUCGCAGCGGUUCUGACGUGCAAAUCGAUCGUCAAAUCUGCGCAUGGGGGCGAAAGACUAAUCGAACCAU
rnacentral:rRNA from 1 species